UUAUGAAAAUGCCUUUUUUGUUUGUUUUGUUUUCAGGGCUUUGCCACUGUGUAUUGGUUGCUGUAUAAAAGAAUUUUCUACAUUGACAAAGUAUUCAGGGUGUUUGUCACACUGCUAUAUUGAUAGUGGCAGUUCCACUGCUAUUAUGAUUUUAAAUCUCUUCUAGAAAAGGCUGGAGAAGCUAACUUCAGCAGCAUUUAAGACUCCACACGUCAGGGAUGCAUUAAACAUCCUUCUGGAAGGACCUGAGAUGGCUGCACAUAUUACAGAGCUUUUAAAUGAGCUUCUAAUGAUGUCAGAUGAGCCCCUAACAACCAACGGAUGCCAAGCUUUUCUCUCUUUCUGUGAUGAUUUAGUGAUCAAUAGCAGUAAAAGAAUCCAGGCAAUACAGUGGAGUGUAUUGCUACUCAUCUCAAAUGGUUGUUUAACUUUAAAGAUAAGCUUCAUGGUGUUUCCAGUGAUAACAAUGAUUAAUGCUUCCUUUGCCGUUGACUGCUCUGUACUCCUGUUUUCUUCCUCUGUAGGGUUUGUAGACUAUAUGAGAAGUUGACUGCUGUCUCUCCCAGCAGGUCACUUCCAGCCAUGCCUAGCUGCUACUUAAAAGACUCAUUAUGAUGAUGGAUUCAUAUCUGGUUUUACAGAUCUGUCUGAGUGCCUUCUUCCUGAAGACACCGCUGUACUUUGUUCUGGGAGGUGUGAAAAGCAAGAAGAGAAAUUGACCUACCUAUAAUCCUAUCUGGAAACAUCCAAGGAGUUGGAGAACAGCCUGGGGCAUCGUUCUGAUCCGCUCUUUAAAGUAGAUUGUGCACAGUGCAAUAGUGGGCUUCUAGGGGAGGGACUAUUUGGCCAGAAAUCAGAGCUUGCAGAGAGUUGUUAACUGCAGGGACCUUUGCCCCACUCCCAUGUAAAUGUUCUGCUGGAGAAGAUGCAGCUUUUGCUUAUUUCUAUAGUGUCUGCUUGGAGCUAAAGGUGAGGAGGUUUUGAACACUGUAUUGGUGAAACACACAAAGGUGCAAGACAGUAAUGUCAUCUUCUGGAGAAGUGUGUUUUCCCUUGAAGGACAGGCAAGUGAGGGUGGUAGAGCAGUAGGUGCUUGCUAGCAGUCCUGAGGCAGGUGGAGGCCCGUUUGAAAGAAGAGUAUCUGUUAACACAGAGUACAAAGGUUGUGAUGGACCUAUAAAAUACAGCUGUUGGACUGGGGCAUAGGGAAAGGGGAAGUAUGUCACAAAUCCUGUUCAAUUUCUUGAUUAGUAUUUCUCCUGCAGGUCCCCCCCUCCCCCCACCAUAACAAAGGAUCAUCUGUGUGAUGAAGAGUGUGUAUUCAUUACUUUCUCAACUAACAUGAAAAGCUGCAAAGCCUUGGAUGCUGAUCCUGGCUGAAACAAUUUCACUUUGGGAUUUGGUCAGCUCUGCUGGAAUUUGUAUGUUCUCCCCACGCUGGAUACCUUCCCUCUGGGCUUCCCCCUCUCCUUCUGGACCUGCAGUAUACAGUGUGGCAGCGUGACGAUUCAGGCAGGCCCUAAAAAACUGUUGACAAAGGCCUUGCUGGAAACUUAAUUUCUUGGCCUUUCGAGAAUCCUUAACUUGGAGAACCAAUUGUUUUGCUGUCCUUUGGUUUCAAUUCUAUUUCUCAAAUCUUGAUUACUCAGUUUGCUUUUAAAGAAAGCCUUCCCCUCCCCCUCUUUUUUUUAAACAAACUUUGAUGCCAGUGCAAAAUCCUUCCCUCUGCGAGGAAGAGAGUUUCUGCAGAUAUGUGGAAAACUGCCUGAGGAAAGGAUGGAAAUGAGAAAGAGAAGACAUUUCAUAGACAUUUUCUUGAUUACUGGUUCCUGAAAUCAAGACCUCCUGCUGCAGUGUAGGGAAUCAGAAUUGCCCAUCACUUCAUUUUUUUUUUUUCCUCUGUCCCUGUAGAGUUGUAUGAAAGAUGAUUUUAGUUGUCUUUCCACAUUCCUUUUGAACUUCAUUUAUUUUGGGAAAAAAAUACUCCAAAUAAUGUUGUAUUUUAUAGGUCCUAUAAAUAAUAAUUUCUUCUGACUGUAAAGAAAGAUACAAGGCUUGCUUAGUGAGACUGCAGAUGAGAUUUCAGUUAUCCAUACUUAAGUAGAUGAGGAAAGUAACUGAAAGAUGGAAGUAGUUUUACGUUAACCAAUUUUCUAUAAAACAAUGGCAAGACCUGGGCUGACUGAACAAUGUAAUGAGUUAUUUGAAUGUUUGACAAGUGAUGAAAAACGUCAACCUGCAGUUUUUAUGGGGGAAAUAAACUUUCAUAAGUUUACUCUGGAUACAAAUUAAUAGGGAUUUCAGAAUGAUCACUUCUGCAGCCAAAU